rnacentral:rRNA from 1 species
AUUGAACGCUGGCGGCAGGCCUAACACAUGCAAGUCGAGCGCGCGGCGGACGGGUGAGUAAAGUCUGGGAAACUGCCUGAUGGGGGGGGAUAACUCCUGGAAACGGUAGCUAAUCCCCCAUACCAUCAACUGUGCCCAGAUGGGGUUAGCUAGUAGGUGGGGUAACGGCUACCCUAGGGGACGAUCCCCAGCUGGUCUGAGAGGAUGACCAGCCACACGGAAACUGAGCCACGGUCCAGACUCCUACGGGAGGCAGCAGUGGGGAAUAUUGGACAAUGGGCGCAAGCCUGAGACAGCAAUGCCGCGUGGGGGAAGAGGGCCUUCGGGUUGUAAAGCACGUUCAGCGGGGAGGCGUUACCCGCAGAAGAAGCACCGGCUAACUCCGUGCCAGCAGCCGCGGUAAUUC